GGAUGCGAUCAUACCAGCACUAAAGCACCGGAUCCCAUCAAAACUCCAAAGUUAAGCGUGCUUGGGCGAGAGUAGUACUAGGAUGGGUGACCUCCUGGGAAGUCCACGUGUUGCAUUCC
rnacentral:rRNA from 1 species